UACGGGGGGAGCAAGCGUUGUUCGGAUUUACUGGGCGUAAAGGGCGCGUAGGCGGCCUGUGCAAGUCAGUUGUGAAAUCUCCGGGCUUAACUCGGAAAGGUCAACUGAUACUGCUCGGCUAGAGUGCGGAAGGGGCAACUGGAAUUCUUGGUGUAGCGGUGAAAUGCGUAGAUAUCAAGAGGAACACCUGCGGCGAAGGCGGGUUGCUGGGCCGACACUGACGCUGAGAGACGAAAGCUAGGGGAGCGAAUGGG
rnacentral:rRNA from 1 species